rnacentral:lncRNA from 1 species
ACCUUUUUAAGAAGAAAUUUGCUGGAGCAAAAUAUAGGUAUUUGAAAUUAUCUCACAUUCUAGUAAGUUGUAUAGAGUAACAGAUGAAUCUUCAGACAUGAUAAUAUUAUUCUUGUGAAACCAGGGGAAAGAGCUUCUUUUCUACUGGUCUUGCAGAUUAAUUAAGAAAAUCUCUUUUGUGCUUUCAAGGGCAGAAAGAUAUAACUUCAACAAUAAUAGAAAUGACUCGUUCAUCUGAUGAGGUGAUGAUAGGAAAGAAAUAACAUAAUUUAAUCUAUCAGUAUCAUGCAGUAUCUGCAAGAUAGACAUUAUAAAUCUGAUAUUAGAAGAGAGCUUGAUGAAUGAAAAUACAUGAUUAUCAGAAUUAGAAAGAUAGAAAGAUAGACAUGGAGGAAGCAACGAUAUGUAAUAUUAAAACAUAAGAAAUUCCCCACGUCUCUUGGUGUCUCAUGAUCAUCUAUUUUUCUUUCAGCCACUGGUAUAAAAAUUAUAUGUUAAAAGUUCUAAAUAUACGGCAGAAUCACUUGUCUAAAGGUCAUGGAAAGUAUAUUCGUACACAUCGUGCCAGACAGAAUCUCGGUAGUUAGGGUACAUUUUAAAGUUUUUGGACUUGCUUCAUAUAUUUUGUUGCUGGUAAAAACUGUCAGAAUGUCAAACUUUAGACACACUACAAUCGUAUUUCAUAAUACAUGAUUCGUAUCAACAAUAAAGAGAAAAUUAACUGGAAUAAAAAAAAAGAAUGAACAUUUACUAGUGUUCCGAAGAACAGCCAUUAAACUUUGCUUAAGUUUUGCUAAUAUCCAUUUCCACCACCAUGAUACGAAAAGAAGUUAUACUAGACAACCUCACCCCAUCUCAAUCAAAUGGAAACUUGUCCAUAUGCUUUCCUCGAAAAAUCAGAUUGAGGAACCAAAUUUUGUUAACAUGGGAUCAUCAAAGAGAGAAAUAUAGAGCUGUGAGCAUAAGAAGUGGCAUUAUUGCAGCCAAUUUAAAUUACGAUUCUCUUGUAUAAAGGCAUGAAAUACAUUCAUUAAGGUCUUUUUCACAACUAAACAUGCUCCUUAACAGAAUUUGAGAGAGACCAAAUAAAUGAGUUUUAACAGAAAUUAAGCCACUACCGUCUGCUUGGUCCAAGAAGCUUUUGCUAUCAGAAACUCCAUAUCUUGUUGAUUGGUAACGCAUAUAGCUACUAAGACACUCCAUAGUUCCAAAACCAAGAUAAAUUAUCAUAUUAUUUCUCACCGGUCAUUUUCCUAGACAGUCUUCUCACCAGAACUAAGAUCAAUUCAUUUUCUAAGAUGCCCUGAAUUUCUGAGAUAAUUAAUUUGAUAAUUUAUUUUUUUAGCCUAAAGUACAAAAGAAACUUAAGACCUCCUUAUAAAGAAAGUUACAUAGUGGCUGAUGACAAUCCAAAUUACCUUUUCAAUUCUCAGUUAUACUGUAAGACCUCAAAUUAAUUAUAAAAAAUAAAAAAUAAACCAAUACAUUGGCAGAGAACUAAUGUCAAAGCAACUUAUUUCAAGCAUUAGUAUCACCUGUUUAACUCGACGUCAGAUAAAAGAUUUCACUCAAAAUAGCAUAUAUCAAAUAAGAAAAAAAAUUAAAAUACCAUAUUAGUAUUCUGUUGCUUCUCACCUGUUCCAAAUUAAUAUUGUUUAAUCUCUGCAUACCCUUCUGCCCAUAAACCUCUCAUUACUUCUGGAUAAGCGAGAAAAUAAAGAAGAGUACAGAAGUUAGUAGGGAAAAAUUUCAGUAUGUCAUCAAAAAAGAGAAUAAAUUUACAUACUAAAUUACAAAAUGUGCUAUCGAAAUCUUGUAGAGCAAUGAAAUCAAUGAUAGUAGAGAGUAAACAACUUCGAUUCAUUUUGGCAAAUAAAAAGAGCAAAGCAACAAAAAAGAUUGAAAAUAGCAGCUUUAGCAGACGUGGAUGAUCCAAUAUAUAAUUGGACGAAGGAAGAUUUCAUUAUCAAUUCUCUUUAUAAUGAUAGCGCUUUAAAUCAGAGUAAUCUUUUGAAAAUCCAAAUAACCCAUCCUUCUGCUUGGUGAAUAGACGAAAAGGAGAUAUCAAACUGCCUACAACAUAUGGUAAUCGAUCUUGUAGAGACAUCUACGUCAUAAUCUCAAACUUUGAAAUCUGUAUCGCCAAUAAACUAAAUCAAAGAAGAAUGAAAUCCUUUUGAAUCUUAGUUUGUUGAUCAUUCAAGCUUCUUGAUAUUUCAACUAUCAUUACGACAACAUGCACAGAUAAAACAGGAAAUAAAAAACAUAGAAAUGAAUACCGAAAUGGGAUAUCAAGAGAUUGAUAAAAGUUUACUUGAAAAGAAAUUGGAGGAGAGAAAGUGGGUAGAUCUUCUUAAUGGUGGCAAGCCGCCUGUCUGAUUCUAUUUUUUGACCAAUUUGAUUCAUUUGUUACCUGAUUCUGGACAUGUAUGUGCUCGACAAAUUGAGCCUACUAAUGUGUUCAGUUGUAGAAUACCUAGAAAAAGUGGAAAAGUUAAUCUGGGCCUAUUAUCAAAAGCAUUGGUGGAUCAGAUGUAAAUUGGAUACAUCUAAAAAAUUAUCCAAUAUAAUAGAGAAACUACCAGAUACCCAUCGGUGCAUUAAAAGAAGUGAAAGAACAGAGAAAAAUUCACCACAAUUAAAUAGAAUAAAACACACACCAAAGACAACUUGGAACUCAGAUUGAGAAAUGUAAAAUAAAAAAUAAAAUAAAAACUAAACUACAGAUGCAUGUGCGUGCAAAAUUUUCCUUAAAAAAGGUAAGAUGGAAAAUAAAAUUCAAAUGGAGCUAAGCAGAAUGAGCAGAGCAGUAAAAGAAACACGGAACAGCAACCAAACCAAAGUAUAACCAGAACAAACAGGAGAAAUGAUCAAUUCACAAAAUAAAGUAGAAACAGAGCGAUAUAAUAGCAAGUAAGCAACUUGUAUCCGUUUAUGGCAAAUUAAGUUCACCAAAGCAAAGAGACGACACUUUGGAGUGAACGGCAGAAGAAAUUUGAGACAAUUGGAAAAGAGAACAUAAAAUCAAGAAUUAGUCCUUGAAAUCUCUAUACAUAAAGUUAGUACAUCGUGGUUUGCCCUUAUAAACAAUAGUACACGCCCUAAAAGACACGAAGAUAAAAUGAUCAAAUUAACCUAGAAAAGGCUCAGAAUCUCCAUAGUACCUUCUUCAGCAGAAUCGGUUUCGAGACAUCUCAGAGAAUCCAGUCAUUUGAAGCACUGCUAGAAAAAUUUGUGCAAAAUCGAAUAAAAAUCAAAGGCAAUAGAAAUUUCUAGACUGCACUGUACAAUGGGAAGAAAUUGGAGAAAAACAGGAGGAGUCAUGGAAGGUAGGUGGGAGAGAACAGAACUUAGUAUUUUACACAGUAAAAUCGCAGUACGCGUG